rnacentral:rRNA from 1 species
UCGCGAAUUUUUCACAAUGGACGCAAGUCUGAUGAAGCCACGCCGCGUGCGGGAUGAAGGCCCUCUGGGUUGUAAACCGCUGUCGAGGGAGGGGAACCGCUGCAUGUGAAUAGCAUGCAGUCUGACUGCUCUCUGAAGGAAGCCCCGGCAAAACAUGUGCCAGCAGCCGCGGUAAUACAUGUGGGGCAAGCGUUGUUCGGAAUUACUGGGCAUAAAGGGUGCGUAGGUGGUUUGUUAAGUCAGGGGUGAAAUCCCACGGCCCAACCGUGGAACUGCCUUUGAUACUGGCGAACUGGAGUGCGUGAGGGGUAGGGGGAACGAGCAGUGUAGCGGUGAAAUGCGUAGAUAUUGCUCGGAAGGCCAGAGCCGAAGGGGCCCUACUGGUACGUAACUGACGCUG